rnacentral:rRNA from 1 species
AGGACGAACGCUGGCGGCGUGCUUAACACAUGCAAGUCGAGCGGAAAGGCCCUUCGGGGUACUCGAGCGGCGAACGGGUGAGUAACACGUGAGCAAUCUGCCCUUAGCUUCGGGAUAGCCCCGGGAAACCGGGAUUAAAUACCGAAUAUGACCUUGGCCGACAUCGGCCUUGGUGGAAAGUUUUUCGGCUAGGGAUGAACUCGCGGCCCAUUAGCUAGUUGGUGGGGUAAAGGCCUACCAAGGCGACGACGGGUAGCC